rnacentral:rRNA from 1 species
GGUUAAGCGACUAAGCGUACACGGUGGAUGCCCUGGCAGUCAGAGGCGAUGAAGGACGUGCUAAUCUGCGAAAAGCGCCGGCGAGGUGAUAUGAACCUUUGACCCGGCGAUGUCCGAAUGGGGAAACCCAGUGUGAUUCGUCACACUAUCGUUAACUGAAUACAUAGGUUAACGAGGCGAACCGGGGGAACUGAAACAUCUAAGUACCCCGAGGAAAAGAAAUCAACCGAGAUUCCCCCAGUAGCGGCGAGCGAACGGGGAGCAGCCCGGAGUCUGAAUCAGCUUGUGUGUUAGUGGAACGGUCUGGAAAGUCCGACGGUACAGGGUGAUAGUCCCGUACACGAAAAUGCACAGGUUGUGAACUCGAAGAGUAGGGCGGGACACGUGGUAUCCUGUCUGAAUAUGGGGGGACCAUCCUCCAAGGCUAAAUACUCCUGACUGACCGAUAGUGAACCAGUACCGUGAGGGAAAGGCGAAAAGAACCCCGGCGAGGGGAGUGAAAAAGAACCUGAAACCGUGUACGUACAAGCAGUGGGAGCCUACUUGUUAGGUGACUGCGUACCUUUUGUAUAAUGGGUCAGCGACUUAUAUUCUGUAGCAAGGUUAACCGUAUAGGGGAGCCGAAGGGAAACCGAGUCUUAACUGGGCGUUAAGUUGCAGGGUAUAGACCCGAAACCCGGUGAUCUAGCCAUGGGCAGGUUGAAGGUUGGGUAACACUAACUGGAGGACCGAACCGACUAAUGUUGAAAAAUUAGCGGAUGACCUGUGGCUGGGGGUGAAAGGCCAAUCAAACCGGGAGAUAGCUGGUUCUCCCCGAAAGCUAUUUAGGUAGCGCCUCGUGAACUCAUCUUCGGGGGUAGAGCACUGUUUCGGCUAGGGGGCCAUCCCGGCUUACCAACCCGAUGCAAACUACGAAUACCGAAGAAUGUUAUCACGGGAGACACACGGCGGGUGCUAACGUCCGUCGUGAAGAGGGAAACAACCCAGACCGCCAGCUAAGGUCCCAAAGUCAUGGUUAAGUGGGAAACGAUGUGGGAAGGCACAGACAGCCAGGAUGUUGGCUUAGAAGCAGCCAUCAUUUAAAGAAAGCGUAAUAGCUCACUGGUCGAGUCGGCCUGCGCGGAAGAUGUAACGGGGCUAAACCAUGCACCGAAGCUGCGGCAGCGACGCUUAUGCGUUGUUGGGUAGGGGAGCGUUCUGUAAGCCGUUGAAGGUGGCCUGUGAGGGUUGCUGGAGGUAUCAGAAGUGCGAAUGCUGACAUAAGUAACGAUAAAGCGGGUGAAAAGCCCGCUCGCCGGAAGACCAAGGGUUCCUGUCCAACGUUAAUCGGGGCAGGGUGAGUCGACCCCUAAGGCGAGGCCGAAAGGCGUAGUCGAUGGGAAACAGGUUAAUAUUCCUGUACUUGGUGUUACUGCGAAGGGGGGACGGAGAAGGCUAUGUUAGCCGGGCGACGGUUGUCCCGGUUUAAGCAUGUAGGCGGAGGUUCCAGGUAAAUCCGGUACCUUUUUAACGCUGAGGUGUGAUGACGAGGCACUACGGUGCUGAAGUAACAAAUGCCCUGCUUCCAGGAAAAGCCUCUAAGCAUCAGGUAACACGAAAUCGUACCCCAAACCGACACAGGUGGUCAGGUAGAGAAUACCAAGGCGCUUGAGAGAACUCGGGUGAAGGAACUAGGCAAAAUGGUGCCGUAACUUCGGGAGAAGGCACGCUGAUAUGUAGGUGAAGCCCCUGCGGGUGGAGCUGAAAUCAGUCGAAGAUACCAGCUGGCUGCAACUGUUUAUUAAAAACACAGCACUGUGCAAACACGAAAGUGGACGUAUACGGUGUGACGCCUGCCCGGUGCCGGAAGGUUAAUUGAUGGGGUUAGCGGUAACGCGAAGCUCUUGAUCGAAGCCCCGGUAAACGGCGGCCGUAACUAUAACGGUCCUAAGGUAGCGAAAUUCCUUGUCGGGUAAGUUCCGACCUGCACGAAUGGCGUAAUGAUGGCCAGGCUGUCUCCACCCGAGACUCAGUGAAAUUGAACUCGCUGUGAAGAUGCAGUGUACCCGCGGCAAGACGGAAAGACCCCGUGAACCUUUACUAUAGCUUGACACUGAACACUGGUCCUUGAUGUGUAGGAUAGGUGGGAGGCUUUGAAGCGUGGACGCCAGUCUGCGUGGAGCCGACCUUGAAAUACCACCCUUUAAUGGCUGGUGUUCUAACGUAGACCCGUAAUCCGGGUUGCGGACAGUGUCUGGUGGGUAGUUUGACUGGGGCGGUCUCCUCCCAAAGAGUAACGGAGGAGCACGAAGGUUAGCUAAUCCUGGUCGGACAUCAGGAGGUUAGUGCAAUGGCAUAAGCUAGCUUGACUGCGAGAGUGACGGCUCGAGCAGGUGCGAAAGCAGGUCAUAGUGAUCCGGUGGUUCUGAAUGGAAGGGCCAUCGCUCAACGGAUAAAAGGUACUCCGGGGAUAACAGGCUGAUACCGCCCAAGAGUUCAUAUCGACGGCGGUGUUUGGCACCUCGAUGUCGGCUCAUCACAUCCUGGGGCUGAAGUAGGUCCCAAGGGUAUGGCUGUUCGCCAUUUAAAGUGGUACGCGAGCUGGGUUUAGAACGUCGUGAGACAGUUCGGUCCCUAUCUGCCGUGGGCGCUGGAGAAUUGAGGGGGGCUGCUCCUAGUACGAGAGGACCGGAGUGGACGCAUCACUGGUGUUCGGGUUGUCAUGCCAAUGGCACUGCCCGGUAGCUAAAUGCGGAAGAGAUAAGUGCUGAAAGCAUCUAAGCACGAAACUUGCCCCGAGAUGAGUUCUCCCUGAGACUUUAAGUCUCCUGAAGGAACGUUGAAGACGACGACGUUGAUAGGUCGGGUGUGUAAGCGCAGCGAUGCGUUGAGCUAACCGAUACUAAUGAACCGUGAGGCUUAACCUU